GACGAACGCUGGCGGCGUGCCUAAUACAUGCAAGUUGAGCGCUGAAGGUUGGUACUUGUACCGACUGGAUGAGCAGCGAACGGGUGAGUAACGCGUGGGGAAUCUGCCUUUGAGCGGGGGACAACAUUUGGAAACGAAUGCUAAUACCGCAUAAAAACUUUAAACACAAGUUUUAAGUUUGAAAGAUGCAAUUGCAUCACUCAAAGAUGAUCCCGCGUUGUAUUAGCUAGUUGGUGAGGUAAAGGCUCACCAAGGCGAUGAUACAUAGCCGACCUGAGAGGGUGGUCGGCCACAUUGGGACUGGGACACGGCCCAAACUCCUACGGGAGGCAACAAGAGGGGAUCUUCGGCAAUGGACGAAAGGCUGACCGAGCAACGCCGCGGGAGGGAAGAAGGGUUUCGGAUCGUAAAACUCUGUUGGUAGGGAAGAACGUUGGUGAGAGUGGAAAGCUCAUCAAGUGACGGUAACUACCCAGAAAGGGACGGCUAACUACGUG
rnacentral:rRNA from 1 species